rnacentral:rRNA from 1 species
GCGCAGCAGGCGCGAAACUUUACAAUGUGCGAAAGCACGAUAAGGGAACUCUGAGUGCCUCCUAAGGAGGCUGUUCAGGUGUCUAAAAGCACCUGAAGGAAGGGCUGGGUAAGACCGGUGCCAGCCGCCGCGGUAACACCGGCAGCCCAAGUGGUAGCCACGUUUAUUGGGUCUAAAGCGUCCGUAGCCGGCUGGGUAAGCUCCUUGGGAAAUUUGGCUGCUUAACAGUCAAGCUUUCAGGGAAUACUGCCCGGCUUGGGACCGGGAGAGGUCAGAGGUACUCCAGGGGUAGGGGUGAAAUCCAUUAAUCCUUGGGGGACCACCGGUAGCGAAGGCGUCUGACCAGACCGGGUCCGACGGUGAGGGACGAAGGCUA